CUUGGUAGAAAAGAGAGGUUGAUGGGAACCUGCUGCUGUGGGGCUUGUGCAAACUGAUCUGCAGGAAUCACAGAAGGAGAACAUAAGAAUUCACAAGUGUGGGGGUUGAGUGGACAUGUGCAAAUGCUGAAAUUCCUAUUAGCAGAUGGAAGACAGAAAAUAUGAAAUGAAGAAUCAUUGAGAUUGGAAAAAAUCUCAUGGGACUGCCUAGUCCAACCUCCCUCCCUCAAGAGGAGUCAGCUGGAGCAGGUUGUUCAGGACAGUUUGCAGUAAGAUUAUGAACAUCUCUGAGGAUGGAAACUUUACAGGCAAUGUUUUAGUGUCUGACCACCUUUGCAGCAAAAAAAAUUGUUCUGUGUUCAGAUGGAAUUUCAUAUGUAUCAUUUUGCACCCAUUGCCUGUAGUUCUCCCUUGUGGCUCUGAGACAAUUCUGACUCUGUUUCGUCCCUCUCGGAUAUUUAUGUACCUUCCUCUGCCAAAACUUCUCUUCAGGCUGAAGAGUCCCAACUCUCUCUCAGCCUUUCCUCAUGUGAGGAUGCAGUCCCUUUGCUAAGUAACCCUUUCCUGCACUUGCCCCAGAAAGUCUUGAGCUGAAGCACCCAGAACUAAGAGCCAAUACUCCAGAUGAGGCUUCACCAGCAUUGAGCAGAGAGGACAUCACCUUCCUCAACCUGCUGAAAAUGUUUUUCCUAUUGCAGGUCAGAAUAUUGUUUUACUUCAUACCUGAACAAUUCUAAUUUCUAAUCUUAUAAAGAAGGAAUGCUUAAAUGUUAAAAAAAAAAAAAAAAAAAAAAAAAAAAAAAAAAAAAAAAAAAAAACACAAGUAACCACUAAAUAGAACUUCACCUUAUGGAUUAAGGGAAGAAUAUUUAAGCUUCUAUGUAAUCACUAUGUCAGUAAUGCCUAAUGAGACAUGACUCCUUGCAAUGUCCUAUUUUUUCUGAAAUCAUUGGGUAAAAGAAAAAUUGUGACAAAAUAAGUUAAAAUGGUGUUUCUUCUCCCUUG